rnacentral:rRNA from 1 species
AUUGAACGCUGGCGGCAGGCCUAACACAUGCAAGUCGAGCGAGCGGCGGACGGGUGAGUAAUGUAUGGGGACUGCCCGUUAGAGGGGGAUAACUACUGGAAACGGUGGCUAAUACCGCAUACUCUCGUUUACCCCAUAUGGGUUUAUCUAGUAGGUGGGGUAAAGGCUCACCUAGGCGACGAUCUCUAGCUGGUCUGAGAGGAUGACCAGCCACACCGGGACUGAGACACGGCCCAGACUACUACGGAGGCAGCAGUGGGGAAUAUUGCACAAUGGGAGCAAGCCUGAUGCAGCCAUGCCGCGUGUAUGAAGAAGGCCUUAGGGUUGUAAAGUACUUUCAGCGGGGAGGCGGUACCCGCAGAAGAAGCACCGGCUAACUCCGUGCCAGCAGCCGCGGUAAUUC